GAUGAACGCUGGCGGCGUGCCUAAUACAUGCAAGUCGAGCGAACAGACGAGGAGCUUGCUCCUCUGACGUUAGCGGCGGACGGGUGAGUAACACGUGGAUAACCUACCUAUAAGACUGGGAUAAAUUCGGGAAACCGGAGCUAAUACCGGAUAAUAUAUUGAACCGCAUGGUUCAAUAGUGAAAGACGGUUUUGCUGUCACUUAUAGAUGGAUCCGCGCCGCAUUAGCUAGUUGGUAAGGUAACGGCUUACCAAGGCGACGAUGCGUAGCCGGCCUGAGAGGAUGAUCGGCCACACUGGAACUGAGACACGGUCCAGACUCCUACGGGAGGCAGCAGUAGGGAAUCUUCCACAAUGGGCGAAAGCCUGACGGAGCAACGCCGCGUGAGUGAUGAAGGUCUUCGGAUCGUAAAACUCUGUUAUUAGGGAAGAACAAAUGUGUAAGUAACUAGGCACGUCUUGACGGUACCUAAUCAGAAAGCCACGGCUAACUACGUG
rnacentral:rRNA from 1 species